GAUGAAGAACGUAGCGAAAUGCGAUAACUAAUGUGAAUUGCAGAAUUCCGUGAAUCAUCGAGUCUUUGAACGCACAUUGCGCCCCCUGGUAUUCCGGGGGGCAUGCCUGUCCGAGCGUCAUUGCAACCCUCAAGCACGGCUUGUCUAAUGGGCGGUUCGUCUGCGGCCAUCCGCCGGAGACGCCCCCGAAAUGCAGUGGGGAUGUUCGCUAAAUCGCAGCGUCAGGAAUGGAAAUAAACAAUGCUGACGGCUCGAUGUCGAACGUCCACCUAAGGCGUGCCGCCCCCCCGGGGUGUGUCGCCCAACCUCUCUCGGUUGACCUCGGAUCAGGUAGGGAUACCCGCUGAACUUAAGCAUAUCAAUAAGCGGAGGA
rnacentral:misc_RNA from 1 species